CAGCAGACACAUUCCAGCCAAUCAGCAGGACCCUCCCUCCCAGACCCUCCCACCUCCUGGACAGCAUCCAUUGUGAAGCUGCAUUCUUAGUGAGCUGUCCAGGAGGUGGGAGGGUCUGGGAGGGAGGGUCUGCUGCUGAUUGGCUGGAAUGUGUCUGCUG